AAACACAACAAAAAGAAAGAAAGAAAAAACC
rnacentral:sRNA from 1 species